rnacentral:rRNA from 1 species
CAGCAGCCGCGGUAAUACAGAGGGUGCAAGCCGUUGUCCGGAAUCAUUGGGCGUAAAGGGUAGGUAGGUGGUCUCAUUUGUCUCGGGUGAAAGCCUUGGGCUUUAACCCAAGAAGUGCCCGAGAAACGGUGAGACUGGAGUCCUGGAGAGGGUCGUGGAAUUCCCGGUGUAGCGGUGAAAUGCGUAGAGAUCGGGAGGAACACCAGGGGCGAAGGCGGCGACCUGGACAGGUACUGACACUCAACUACGAAAGCGUGGGGAGCAAACAGGAUUAGAUACCCUGGUAGUCCACGCUGUAAGCAAUGAGUACUAGGCUUGGUGGGUCUUGACCCCUGCCGAGCCGGCGCUAACGCAAUAAGUACUCCGCCUGGGAAGUACGGUCGCAAGAUUAAAACUCAA